AAUCAACGCUGGCGGCGUGCCUAACACAUGCAAGUCGAACGCGGUUACCCCGCAAGGGGUAACUGAGUGGCGAACGGGUGAGUAACGCGUGGGUGACCUACCUUCGAGUGGGGGAUAACGUCCCGAAAGGGACGCUAAUACCGCAUAACAUCCUGCCUUUGAACAGGCGGUGAUCAAAGCCGGGGAUCGCAAGACCUGGCGCUUGAUGAGGGGCCCGCGUCUGAUUAGCUAGUUGGUGAGGUAAUGGCCCACCAAGGCAACGAUCAGUAUCCGGCCUGAGAGGGGCGGACGGACACACUGGGACUGAGACACGGCCCAGACUCCUACGGGAGCAGCAGUGGGGAAUUGUUCGCAAUGGGCGCAAGCCUGACGACGCAACGCCGCGUGGAGGAUGAAGGUCUUCGGAUUGUAAACUCCUGUUGCUCGGGACGAAUGGCUCCGGCCUAAU
rnacentral:rRNA from 1 species